UGGAAAGCCGUUUACAAAUCAGCCUGUCCAGGGAUUCAGGCUGGAACAGCUGGCGAGGCCUAUGAGCAGGUUUACUGCUGGAGUCCUUGGGUAGGCUGCCUUGGUGACUGAUCAGUGGGGACUUGGGCCUGAUACCUUGGUCCAUAAGACAUGGGCCUGGUUCUGGGGCAGUCCUGGAGCCUCCAUAUGUGGAAGGCGUUCUGGAGCUGAGGUGCCAUAAUCUUUCACCUGGGUUCCUUAGCUCUUGUGAAGGUAUCUUCAUGCAUGGAUGGUAGUUCAAACUGAUGUUUCUUUGAAAGGUGUUAAACUUUGUACUCCUGGGAUAAAUUCCUCUUGGUGAUGGUUUGAGCAUGUGAUGGCUGAGUGGACUCUCAUAGGCUGGAGCUGGAGAGAAGCCCAGAGACAGAAAGCAAGAGAUAUGCAGUGCAGCUGGGGAGGUCUUGCCUUGCUACAUUUGCAUGAAGCUAUUGGCUAUAGCAAUGGCUGAAGAGAAAGCUGAGCUGAGAGGACAUAAAAUGAAGCAAGGAUGGAGAAGAGAUGGAACAAUCUUAUAUAAAUUGGCCAAAGAAGUCAUUAGACCACCUGCUCUGUGCUGCAUGCCUACCAUCAGCUCCAAUGCUCACUGCCAUUAGAGAAAAUGGACCAGAAAAGCAGUCAUGGCACCUUCAUUCAUGUCUUAAGAAAGCUUUAGGAGAGUGGUUUGAAAACUAGGCUUCUGUGAAGCACCUUUGGGUGCUGCUGAAUUGGAAGGGGGAGGAAGAAGUGGGCUGAUAGCAGAAAAGGGCCAAUGGGUGGAGUCUCAGUCCUCUGACCCACUUCAACCAGAAAAAUCUGCUUUCAUUCAUUUUGCAUAUUGAGCGUCAUUGUGAUAAUUUGGGGCUGAAAUAAAUUUGGAAGCCACAAGAGCGCAUUAAGGAAUUUCACUGGGAGAAUUGGUGAGGUCCCAAACCUGGGAUGAGUUGCCCAUCUCCCCUCUGGUUAUUAAGCUAGGCUGAUAUACAAUGUACCCGGGAAGGAAGUCACAAAUAUCAGCUUGUAUUCAAGAAAGCAUUUUGACUCAUUGUGCUCCCUCUCUAAUCCCAUUUAAUCUCAGCCUGCUUUCACUGAGUCUCUUUCUCUUGAUUCAUUCAUUCGCUAAUAUAGCAAAUAUUUCAUGAACAUAUAUGAUUUGUCAACAUUGUGCUAGACCCCUGAGAUAUGACUGAGAUAUAGUUCUUUCAUUCAAGGAACCCAAGUCUAAUGGCAAAUGAGGACAGAAAAACGAAUUAACAGACAAUUACCAUACAAUGUUAAGCAAAGAAUAAACAGUCUUGUGAGAACAUGGAGAAAAGCCUUUGAAUCUAACCCAUGUGUAAUCUAACCCAUGUGAUUAAGGGAUGGGGUCUCAGAGGAAGUGCACC
rnacentral:lncRNA from 1 species